rnacentral:misc_RNA from 1 species
CUGUUGCAAAAACUGGUCCUUUCUUCUGGAUGCACCAAUUUUGUAUGCUAUAGGAUAGACCAGUGACCACAAUUCCCGCAUAUAGGAUGACAAAUAUAAGUAAAUUUCCGCUUCUCCAUAUCCUCCAGGAAGAAGGAUUUCUCUCAAUCAAGGCGGCUAAUACUACUGUCAGGAGGGUUCCGGAGGCGUUCAUCAUAGCCGACAGAGUAAAGUGAGUAGGAUAAUUCAAAGCUAUUCUCUCCACCAGGAGACUUGACACAGCAACUACGAGGACCGCAAUCAAAACCAUAAGAUAGCCGAGGAGCUGGCUGCGGGAGGCAGUCAGAGUUGAGACACGAGCCCCGGUUUCAGACGUUACCACCAUGCCGAUAGCCCCGGCAGCUGAGACAAUUAUCCCCCACAGCUUGACCUGGCCGGAUAGAGUCAAG